GAUGAAGAACGCAGCGAAAUGCGAUAAGUAAUGUGAAUUGCAGAAUUCAGUGAAUCAUCGAAUCUUUGAACGCACAUUGCGCCCGCCAGCAUUCUGGCGGGCAUGCCUGUUCGAGCGUCAUUUCAACCCUCGAGCCCCCCCGGGGGCCUCGGUGUUGGGGGACGGCACACCAGCCGCCCCCGAAAUGCAGUGGCGACCCCGCCGCAGCCUCCCCUGCGUAGUAGCACACACCUCGCACCGGAGCGCGGAGGCGGUCACGCCGUAAAACGCCCAACUUUCUUAGAGUUGACCUCGGAUCAGGUAGGAAUACCCGCUGAACUUAAGCAUACAAUAAGCGGAGGA
rnacentral:misc_RNA from 1 species